AGGACGAACGCUGGCGGCGUGCUUAACACAUGCAAGUCGAACGGUAAGGCCCCUUCGGGGGUACACGAGUGGCGAACGGGUGAGUAACACGUGGGUAAUCUGCCCUGCACUUCGGGAUAAGCCUGGGAAACUGGGUCUAAUACCGGAUAUGAACUCCUGCCGCAUGGUGGGGGUUGGAAAGUUUUUCGGUGCAGGAUGAGCCCGCGGCCUAUCAGCUUGUUGGUGGGGUAAUGGCCUACCAAGGCGACGACGGGUAGCCGGCCUGAGAGGGUGAUCGGCCACACUGGGACUGAGACACGGCCCAGACUCCUACGGGAGGCAGCAGUGGGGAAUAUUGCACAAUGGGCAAAGCCUGAUGCAGCGACGCCGCGUGGGGGAUGACGGUCUUCGGAUUGUAAACCCCUUUCAGCAGGGACGAAGCGCAAGUGACGGUACCUGCAGAAGAAGCACCGGCUAACUACGUGCCAGCAGCCGC
rnacentral:rRNA from 1 species